CCUACGGGUGGCAGCAGUGGGGAAUAUUGGGCAAUGGGCGCAAGCCUGACCCAGUAACGCCGCGUGAAGGAAGACGGCUUUCGGGUUGUAAACUUCUUUUUAGAGGGAAGUGCAGAAGACGGUACCUCUUGAAUAAGCCACGGCUAACUACGUGCCAGCAGCCGCGGUAAUACGUAGGUGGCAAGCGUUGUCCGGAUUUACUGGGUGUAAAGGGCGUGCAGCCGGGAAGACAAGUCAGAUGUGAAAGCCCGCGGCUCAACCGCGGAACUGCAUUUGAAACUGUUUUUCUUGCGUACCGGAGAGGUCAGCGGAAUUCCUUGGGGAGCGGUGAAAUGCGUAGAUAUAAGGAAGAACACCAGUGGCGAAGGCGGAUGUCUGGACGGCAACUGACGGUGAGGCGCGAAAGCGUGGGGAGCAAACAGGAGUAGAUACCCUUGUAGUC
rnacentral:rRNA from 1 species